UUCUGCUUGAUAUUAAAUUUUUAUUGGAUUAGCAGUAUGCCCUGCUCAGUGCAUUGAAGGUGUAAAUAGCCGCAGUAUUCUGACUGUGCUAAGGUAGCGUAAUUUUCGCGUCUAUUAAUUGUAGACUUUGUGAAUGGGUUAACGAUGGUUUAGCUGUCUUUUUUUUAUUGGUUUGAACUUUGUUUUUGGAUUAAGAAAUCUAAAUGUCUCUGAAAGACGAUAAGACCCCGUGAAGCUUUAUUUUGAGCUUUGUUUUUUGAUUAUGUGAAAUUUAGUUGGGAUAACUGGUUACCAUAAAAAGAGUAACUAGAUUCUUUAAAGAUGUAGGAAUGUUGAUUGUUUGGAAAUGAGCCAUUGUUUUUUGAUUUAUAGCUAAAGUUACUCCGGGGAUAACAGAAUGUUUUUUCUUUUAAGAUCUUAUUUUAAGAAGAGAUUAUUACCUCGAUGUUGGCUUAGAAU
rnacentral:rRNA from 1 species